rnacentral:rRNA from 1 species
AACGAACGCUGGCGGCGUGGCUAAGACAUGCAAGUCAAACGGUCCGGUACUUAUUUGUUUACAAAUCAGUGCUGGAUAGUGGCGAAAGGGUGAGUAAUGGAUAGGUAACGUGCCCUGUGCUUCGGGAUAGCGCCGUUCGCCUUCGGGCGAACUACCGAAAGGGGCGGUAAUACCGAAAAUAUCAUUCGUCGAUGGACAAAUGUUCAAAGAUUUAUCGGCAAAGGAGCGGCCUAUCUCCUAUCAGCUUGUUGGUGAGGUAACGGCUCACCAAGGCUAUCACGGGUAGCGGGACUGAGGGGUUGGCCCGUCACAUUGGGACUGAGACACUGCCCAGACCUCCACGGAGGGCUGCAGUAACGAAUAUUGCGCAAUGGGCGAAAGCCUGACGCAGCGACGCCGCGUGUAGGAGGAAGUCCUUCGGGAUGUAAACUACUGUCAGGGGGAAGAAAGUGCGCUUCGGUGCAUUGAUCUAACCCAAAGGAAGUCACGGCUAACUUCGUGCCAGCAGCCGCGGUAAGACGAAGGUGGCAAGCGUUGUUCGGUGUCACUGGGCUUAAAGAGUGCGUAGGCGGAAAGGUAAGCGCCCUGUGAAAACCCCCGGCUUAACCGGGGAAUUGCUCGGCGUACUGCUUUUCUUGAGCCAAGUAGGGGUGCACGGAACUCUUGGUGGAGCGGUGGAAUGCGUAGAUAUCAAGAGGAACGCCGGUGGAGAAAUCGGUGCACUGGGCUUGUGCUGACGCUGAGGCACGAAAGCGUGGGGAGCGAACGGGAUUAGAUACCCCGGUAGUCCACGCCGUAAACGAUGUCUACUAGGUUGUGGAAGUUCUGACACUUGCACGGCCGAAGCAAAAGUGUUAAGUAGACCGCCUGGGGAGACGGCCGCAAGGCU